rnacentral:rRNA from 1 species
UAGAUACCCUGGUAGUCCUGGCCGUAAACGAUGGAUACUAGGUGUGGGAGGUAUCGACCCCUACCGUGCCGGAGUUAACGCAAUAAGUAUCCCGCCUGGGGAGUACGGUCGCAAGACUGAAACUCAAAGGAAUUGACGGGGACCCGCACAAGCGGUGGAGUAUGUGGUUUAAUUCGAAGCAACGCGAAGAACCUUACCAGGCCUUGACAUUGACUGAAGCAUGCAGAGAUGUAUGUGUCUCUUCGGAGAC